AUUAAUCCCCACACUCCAUAUAUACAACUUUCCACAAACCCUAACCCUAACACCCCUAACCAAACAGCGCCCCCUGUCUCCAAGCCUUCUGUCGCGCCCUAGCCAUGCCAAACCCGCCGGAAAUCCCCCCCAAAUCACAUGGUCCCCUCCUCUCUCUUCCCCCUGCCACGUGGCCUGACAGGUAACAGAUUUCGUAAAAUUGAAUCUUCCUCAUUCUCCCUCAUGCGCUCAUCUCACCUGAAAAUCAAUUUGAAGAUGAGAUUAGGAUGAAUGGGAGGCAUAGGAUUGAGCCUCACUCAAUCUACUCCCUCCAUUUGUCCUUUACUUGUGACUAAAGAUGGAUUUUCGGAUUUUUUAGAAAGAGGAAAAAUUUUCACGACUUGGAGGGGAAGUCUAGAAGUUUCUGGAGCUUAUAUAUAUUGGGGGUUCGUUUCUUUAGGGGUGGGCGAUUGGAAAAAUUUAGGAAUUCUUCAGUUUUUUUUGGACAAAAAUUUUGAGAAAAAAAAAUCGGACAGAAAGGAGAAAAAGAAAAGUUCUAGGGUUUUUGAUUUUUUAUUUUUCUGAAUUUUGGUUUUAGUUUUCCAUAUAUACAAGAAAAAUCAGUUUCUUCUUCUGGAUUUUUGUUCAAAAUGGAGUAAAGACAAUUGGGUGUUCGAAAUUUUUGGAGUCACCGUUUGUGGUUCUGGUCGUGGCUUGUUGUCUCUGUUUGAAGAUCUUGUUGAAUUCCUCUAUUCUGGACUCACUCAGUUUUGCUCGAUUUAGUGCUGUAAUUGCUGAAUUUUGUUCAUUGGAAAGCUAAUCUCAGGUUAUUCUUAAUCUCACUGCUUUAUUUUGGUAUGAUUGGAGUUUGAUUGAUUUCGAAAUGUGCCGGAUUCUCUAUUUUUAUGUUGUUACUCUUUUAACUUUUUAUUAGUUGGUUGUUGUAUGUAUGAUUGAGGAAUACGUAUUAGAGUGUGAGUUAGUUUAAUGGAGCUAAAAGUAUAUGUGUUCCCUUUCUUUUGACUUCAAUCAUGGAGUGUAUGUGAGAGGGAUUCAAUAGCUUGCUGCUAAAGAAAUCUAUUCACUGCUUUGGUAAUUUAUCUCACCACUGUUUAGAACCAUGACUUAGUAAUUUUGACAUUAUCCUUGUAUAGUUGGAGUACUUUAUUAAGGUGAAAUAAUAUGUUCUUAAUAUUUCAAUAAUAACGUCUGGAAGCAUGAGUAAGUCUUUAAAUGAAAUGAAAGUUUUUCUUUGUUUAAUUCAAGUUUUCAUGUCAGGUCCUUGUUAGUCUAUCGAGAUUUGAGAGUCUAUGUUUAAGGCGUCUGUCUAUUAUAUCUAUAUGUUAGUUUUAUUGAAUUUUUUAGAGCUCAUGAAAGCAUGUUUCAAUCUCUGCUGAAGGCUACAUUUGAUUUCAAAAUUUUCCUUGAAUAUUAAGAAGAUUACUGCAAUUUUGUUAAAAUUGUUUGGUGUACUUUGGAAUGUCUACAUUGAGCUAUGUGGUGGUUGGUUUAAGAUGAGUGAGCCUGCUAAAUCAUGUGUUUAGUGUUCAUGCUUAGUUUUGGGAUUUAAUAUGGUGAAAAGUGGAUGUUCCGACAGCUCAGAUUCACAUUUAUUUUUACUAGUUUUCCAGAUUUUUUUCAAAUUCUUGUUUCUUGAGUUGCUUUGAAUGCUUAUCUGUGGAAUACUUUAUUUUAGUGAUUGGAUUUGCUAUAUUUGAAUUGUUUUGGAUGAUCAUUGAUGCUGUGGGACGGGGAAAGGUCGGAGCCCAUUAGCAAAUAAUUUGUUUCCAUGCUUUAGGCAUUGGGUUCCGCCUAAUAAAAGUGAAAAGAUAAAAAUAAAACAUGAGUAUGAAUCUUUCUUUCUUUAUUUAGUUUUUUUUUAUUUUCUUUAUGUAUCGUAUUAUUCACUAGUAGCAUGCCUAGGCCAUUAUCAUUUGGGUAGGCAAAUCUUUAGGACGUUCAUGCUUUAAUUCCUUUUAGGAGAGAGGUUGUCCCUUUAGUCGAUUAUAUUAUUCGGGGAAUGCCCCGAAGUACUUUGUAAAUAUUUUGGAGGCCGUGACGAGUUUGUGAAGGAAGCAUAGUGUAGUAUUUUAUUUCUAUUUUUUAUUUUUAUUUUAUUUUCCUUUUUAUUUUUAUUUUCCUUUUAUUUGUCUUUUAUUUAGGUAGGGACAACCUCGAACCUUUUUGCGUUUGUUUUCUUUUUGUGUGUUUUUACCUCAAUUCGAAUAUUUUGGAAAACAACUUGAUUAUGUACGCAACCGUACUAGUUACGGGACUCGGGGAAUGCCUAACACCUUCUCCCCGAGUUAAAUGAACCCCCUUACGUAGAAUCUCUGGUGCAAACUUAAUUUUGGAAUCUAAAGUAUUUUAAAAGAGAAUUAUUUUUAAACGGUGACCUGAUACACUGAAAUCAAAUGUCAGGUCGCGACUCUGAAAUAUCUUUUAAAACACAAUUUUGUCACUUUCAAUUUUAAAAACCCUUUUGAGCUUUUUAAGUCUUUUAUUAUUUUAAAGGGAAUUAAGAAGUAAAAAAAAAGGGGUGUGACAAUCAUGACCAUAAUUUUUGGCGUUUAUAACAUUCCCACUACUCCUUAUUUUUACUCUUUGCUUUUACAACUUCCUCUUCUUCUCCAACUUAUCUUAGAACCCUACUUGCAAACUUCAACUUUCUCAAUAAAUUUCUCCUUCACAAAUUUCUUACCGUCAUGUCUGCUAACACUACUGCCUUUGAAAACUCUAGUCUUCUCUUUGAUAGAGGCCCAAAAAAGAACAAACCAAAUGAGACAGAUGUUGAGUCGGAACCUCCUAGCGUAAACAACAUCAUACCUCUUCAUCUUAGCACGAAAUCUGACCUUCAAGAACAAAAAAGAACCUGCAAAUCCCAAAAGUGACAGGCACUGGUCUGUUCGUAGGUAUCCUUCCUCCAUUCGUCCUCCUAGCAUCCCUAUCGUGAAUGAGGAAUAUAAUUAGAACAACAUCGAAAUCUUCACCUCUAAUGAGGUAGAAAGGGUCACCUUCUCCAAACCAGGGUUCAUGUAUGAUUAUACAUACCCUUUCACUUUGGGCCCUUUCAUUUUAAGAGUGGGUGAAGGAGUCGACCCAGUAAUCUUAGAAUUUUGCCACCGAUACCAACUCUGCUUGGCACAAUUAGGCCCAUACAUAUGGCAUAUGGUGGCUUGCCUCCACCAAUUAUACUCUGAGAUCAGGGAAACUCUAACUCUUGCACAUGUGAUGAACUUUUACUCCUUUAAGAUUUUUUGCGAGAGUAUGCUAAAAUUCAGCAAACGGGGUCAUCAUGCCCUUCUCACCAGCGUCGAUGAUGAUAACGAUCGUGGAUAGAUGAAACAUUUUAUUUUCAUUACUGCCAGGGACAUCCUCCCGACCACAACGUUUGCUGUUCUUGAAUCAUGGAACCUUUUUCGUAAGUCUUAGAGUAUUUCUUUUCUUUCCAUGUUUUCAAAAACACCUUCCAUUGUUACUAACUUUAUACAUUCCUUAUUCCAGCUACUCAUUGGAAAUUACCAUGGUUUAAGAUCUGGCCCAAUGGGUACAGAAAAUUCUAGAUAUCACUACACCAGAAUCCCGAAGGUAAAAAAAAUAUCUUGCAAAUAUGGAUAGAAAGCCAAAACUAUGAUAAACAAAAAUUCUUCCUUCUUUCAAUCUUACAAAAUAACAUAGAAAUAGUUUAGUAAUUGUUUUUUUGUACCACACAAGACUUUCAAAGGGAUCUGUUGUUUGUCCUGACAUCGAGGCUCUUAAGCACUCGAUGGAAGCUGAAUGGGUACUGUAGGGUGCCCUUAACUGGAGGAGAGCUCGCGAAUCUACUCGGACUUCUGGUGAAGGUACCACCUCCCAGAGUCCCCAUCUCAAAAACAAGAAACCAAAGAGGAAGUGUACCUCCUCGACUGGGACUCAAGAGAAAAGAGUGAAAGAAAUACCAACCGGACCGACCACAAUUGUCCUUGAUGAAGAAGAAAUCAAUGAUGAAGCGACUCCUCUUUAAAGAAGAAAAGAUAUUUAUCAGCUCAACUAGAUGCUCAAUCAGAAGAGCUUCAAACUCCACCACCGGAAGAAGUUCAAGAACUCUGGGGGCAAAUGGAAAUAGCCGAAAAUGCUUAAUCUCGCUUUCAAAGUCCCACAGUUAUUUCUGAUCAAAGGAGUUCAAUCCAUGACCUCCUUCAACUGCCAAAUUCUGAGCUGAUAACAACUACCUCUCCACCUACACCAACUUCUUCUUCUCCACCGGCCCAUCUGAAUAAAUAGAAAAUGCCCCUUCUCUAUGGUCAUCCGACAAUGAAAAUUUGGAAAAAUACUUACUCGGCACCCACUCAAUACCCUCAUAGAAAACGAAGCGCCAUCCUUUCGAUUUCGAAUGAGUGCCAUAUACUUUUCAAGUCGGUGGAGCUUGCCAAUUAUCUGAAGCUGCUGGCCUUAGAAAAAAGAUUAGAGAAAAAUGGACUCUCUUUCUACGGAGUGUUUGAUAAACAAUAGUAUGCACUGUUCGACGCAUGUAUCAAUCUAAGUUUCUUUUAUCUCCUUCCAACUUAUACUUUUCACUAAUAACCUUAGAUUUAACCCUUUUUAGGCUAACCUUUUUGCUUCCAAGGGCAUGCAAAGGUUGAUUCUGGACAAACAAGAGCAUACUUCGGAACGAGAUCAACUUCUAGCCGAACGAAAUCAGCUUGCUGAGCGCCUCCCAGUGUUGGAGGAAAAAAUUUCUCAAAUAGAUGAUCUCGAGGCUCGGUUGUAGCAAUUCGAAUGGCUCACAGCCAGGAAGCUUCCCAGCUACGUGAAAACCUUAAGGAAGCAAAGGCUAAAUGGGUUGAACUUCAUGAUACCGCGAUUGCUGCUGCCGAGCGUGAGUCUACCUUUAUGGAACAAGUUAAUAACUUGGAGGCUAGCUUAUGCUCCAAAAUCGAGGAGGCCAAUGCUACCGAGGAGAAAAGAGAAAGAAUGUAAGAAAGGCUCAGAAGGGUCAUGGAGAAAAAAUCAACUUCAUUUGAGCACCAAUAUCGAGCUUGACUCUAAAAUCAACAGUAUUGAUGGUAGGUUAGAAACACGUGUUUUAGCCGCGUUUUACACUCUAAUUAUUGCACUUUACAUGUCUUUGAGCUUAAAUGAUAGUGAAUUACACUUAUUACAUGUUCUAUGCCUUGUAGGAAGUGGUUUCGAGUUAAAAAAGAUAAUUAUGAGCUAAAUCGAACAAUUUGGAGCUUUGAAGUAUGAGUAAAAGCCCAAGGAAUUAAUCUGGGAUCGCGUUCGGGGGUCGAGGACUGAGUCUGGAUAUAAAAAAAAUGAAGAAAAUAAUUUACUCUGGAAAAGUUACAUAGCUGCACUGCGUAGGGCAGUGCAUAGGGCAGCGCAGCAGUGUGUUUUGCUGCUGUCCGUCAGAAAUCGCUCUCUGAACUUCUCCACUGGCACACCGCAUAGGGAAUCGCACCGUGCAUCGCGCCUGUGCAAUUUUUAUAGAGUAUUUUUUUGUAUCAUCUUGGAAAGGGUAGUUUCAUCCGGACUCGCUUCGGCAUCGUAUAAAUACACAAAAAUAUAUUUUUAAAGGGACGUUUGACCUACGAAAGAUUGGAAGAGCAUUGGAGACAUAAAGCAUAAGGAUUCAUCAUUCUUUCUUCAACUCAACACCCGAGUUUAGAUUGAAUUCAUAUUUUCUUAUUAUUCAACUUUAUUUGUGAUGACUUUAUUCAUGAUUAUGGAGUAGUUUACCUUAGAGUUUGAUGGAUAUGAUGUUUGAUUGAUAUUUGUGGAUUUUAACUCUAGUUCUUUGCUUGAGUUCGUUUAUGGAGCUUUGAAUUGAUUGCAACUUUAUUCAGUUUAUUUAAUCGAAAGAGGAAUAUUUUGGUGAUUAUCUUUGCAUUAUUUGAUUUGGUUUAAUUCAGUUAUUCUUUUAAGUAAUCAAAAGAGCUUGUUGAAUUGUUGAUUAAAUCAAGUUAGGAGAAUAUUCAAGAGACGUUUUUGUAAUGAUCCGGCUUCUCGUUUCAUGAGUUAUCGCUCUGUUUCUCCCAUUUCUGCUUCUUUAUAUCUUGUUCAGCUGUAUUAUGUGGUAUUGGGGGUGGUUGGUUCGGGUACAGAAUGGUUUGGUAGAGAAAUGAGACACUUAGUCUCUUUUGAGUAAGCUUAAGUUGGAAAAGUCAACUGAAUGUUGACUUAUGUGAAAAAGGUCUCGGAUGUGAAUUCCGAUAGUUCGAAUAGCUUUGUUAGAUGAUUUGGGACUUAGGAGCGUGAUCGGAAUGUAUUUUAGAGGUCCGUGGAAGAUUUAGUCUUGAAUUGGUGAAAUUGGAAUUUUGGCGUUUUCCAGUUGGUAGUGGAGAUUUUGAUAUAGGGGUCGGAAUGAAAUUCCGAAAAUUGGAGUAGGUCCGUUUUAUCAUUUGUGACGUGUGUGCAAAAUUUCAGGUCAUUCGGACGAGGUUUGAUAGACUUUUUGAUCGAAAGCGAAAAUUGAAAGUUUUGGAAUUCAUAGGCUUGAAUUUGAGGGUGAUUUGGUGUUCCGACAUUGUUUUGAGUGUUCCGAGGAUUGGAAAAAGUUUGAAUAGUGUUAUGUGACUUGUUGGUGUGUUUGGUUGAGGUCCCGAGGCCCUUGGGAUGGAUUUGGAUGGUUGACUGAGAGUUUGGAUUUUUGGAGUUGUGUUGUAGAUUUUCUGCUUCUGUUAUUUCCGCACCUGCGGAUUGGGGACCGCAGGUGCGAUGCCGCAGAUGCGUAGAGGAGGUUGCAGAAGCAGAUUUGGGUCAGUUGGAGCUUGGCCACAGGUGCGGUGCAUUGGGCACAUCUGCGGGGCCAUAGGUGCUGUUCCUGGACGUAGAUGCGGCCCUGGGGGAUUAAUGAAGAACCGCAGAUGCGGUUGUCUUGACCGCAAAUGUGGUCUGUAGAAGCGUGAUUUGGGCCGCAGGUGCAGAAUCCCUAGGCCAGAACCUAUAUAAGGUUUCCUUCGCGAUUUUCAGCUUUGUUUCACCAUAUUUAAGUCAGAUUGAGAGCUUUUUGGGAGAUUUUGAAGAGGGGAUUCAAGGGAACUUCGUAGAGGUAAGAUUCUUGGAACUAAAACUCAUUUCUAUGGUGUUAUUUUACUGAUUAGACAUGGAGUUUAUGGAAAUUAGUGGUUAAAAUUGGGGGUUUAGGAUUUGAAAUUGGAGACCUUGAUUUAGGGAUUUAAGGGGUCAUUUGUGGUCGGAUUUUGAUGUAUUAUGUAUGAACUCGUGAGAUUAGAAGGAUUCUAGUUUUGUGAUUUUUAUCGGAAUUCGAUACGUGGGCUCAGGGGUCGGGUUUGGCCAAUUUCGGAAUUUUUUAUGUAAAUUGGUUAUUUUCGAGUGGGCUUUGUUCCCUUAGCAUAUUUUGAUGGUAUAAAUCUGAUUUUGGUUAGAUUUGGAGCAUUCGGAGGCCGAGUCGAGAGGCAAAGGCAUCGCGGGCUAGAGUUUGGACCGGAUUGAGGUAAGUAAUGAUUAUAAAUGUUGUCCUGAGGGUAUGAAACCCCGGAUUUCACAUCAUUAUGCUACUUUGAGGUGGCGUACACGCUAGAUGACGAGCGUGGGGUCGUGCACCGUUGAGGAUUGUGACUUUGUCCGUCCCGUACGACUGUUAAGUUGCAUAUUUGAUUAAACCCUAUUUGAUAUCAUUGUUUUUUGGAAAUUAUUAUCAUAUUUUAGGCGGAAUGCCAUAUUUGGGCUGAAUGCCAACUGUUUUGGACCCUUAGGGGCUUUUUACUGCUUUUCCUGACUGUUUUUACUUAAUAUCUGUACUCAGUCAUGUUGUAUUCUACUAUUUUUAUAACUCAGUCAUAUUUACUUCAUUUUGAUAUUUUAAGUGAUAUUUUGGGCUGAGUAUCAUGUUUUACUAUUGCCCGAGUGGCUUGAGAGAUUUCUAAGUGAGUAAGCCCGAGGACCUGUAUUGUGAGGAUAUCAUGGGAUCGGGCUGCGCGCCGCAACUUGUGUACUUAUUAUGAUAUAUGAGAGGUCGAGGGCUUGAUUUGUUAUUCCACGAGAUAACUUGUGAUAGCGUUUGGGCUGUAGGAGCCCCUCUGGAGUCUGAAUACUCCUAGUGAGUACGGGUACCUAGUGUGAGAUGUGAUAUUGCCCGAGGGGUUGUUAUUGUUUCAUGUUAUUGCCCGAGGGGCUGAUUACGAGUGAUUGUGAGGUAGCCGGAGGGGCUAGUUCUAUUGAUAUUUUGCCCGAGGGGUGGUUGUGGUACAUGUUUUGCCUGAGGGGCUAUUUACGUUUCUACCAUUUUACUCACUAUUUUCAUCACUCGUUUGAAACUAAUUAAAGUGUUUUAAAAUGUUUUACUGAACUGAGUUGUUUUUACGAGUUUUAUUGCUUUACUGCAUUGUUCUAGACUUAUACUGUUUUACUGUAGCGUUAUGAUAUGGUUUACGUGUUUUCUUAUUGCUCAGCUGCCUUAAAUUUUAUUACUUACUAAGUUGGCGUACUCACAUUACUCCCUGCACCUUGUGUAUAGAUCCAAGAGUCUCGAGGGGUGAUAGUGAGUGCUGAUCAGUCUUCCAGCAUGUCUCCAGAGUCGACUAGGUAGCCGCUUGGCGUUCGCAACCCAGUGUUUCUCCUUCCUACCUUAUUCAACUUUGUAUUAGCAUUUUGUUUUCAGACUAUGUUGUCCUUUCUUAUUCCUAGAUGAGUUGUAGUUGCUCAUGACUGCUGACACCCCGAUGUCGGGCUAUGUUAUAUAUUUUUCGCACUGUUUCCUUUAACGUAUACUAUGAGAUUUUAGCUAAUUACUCGCUUUAAAUGACUUAAUAUGAAUUUCUGGUUGGUGUUGGGGUUUGUGUCGGCUGGCCUAGUUUCACGUUAGGCGCCAUUAUGACCGGGUUAGUUUUUAGGUCGUGGCAAGUUAGUAUUAGAGCCUAGGUUACAUAGGUCUCACGAGUCAUGAGCAAGUUUAGUAGAGUCUUGCGGAUCGGUAUGGAGACGUUUGUACUUAUCCUCAGGAGACUGCAGAACCUUUAGGAAAAACUUCUUGUUCUUGAAUUCCUAUCGUGCGAAUGUAUUGAUUCUGGUACUAAACUUCUGUUAUUCUAUUCUCUCACAGAUAAUGAGAACACGUGCUACCGGUCAGGAUGGACGACCACCAGUACCAUCAGUUGGGGCCACCAGAGGCCGAGGACGCGGUCAAGGCCGUGGUAAGGGCAGGGGUGUGGCCCGCACAACAGCUAGGGCAGCACCUACGGAUCUACCAGCUGCCCCAAUUCAUGAUCAGGUCCUAGUUGUGGAUGCUUUAGCAGUACCAGCUCAGGCACCGGCUGUGCCUAUUGUGAUCCCAGGCCUUCAGGAGCCCCUGACCCAGAUUCUAUCAGUGUGCACUGGCCUAGCUCAGGCGGUCUCAGUUACUACAGCCGCAGCUACUUCUCAUGCUGGGGGAGGACUCUCACCGCUCGCACACCUGAGCCAGUCGUGCAAGGACUUUAGACAACUACGACACCUCUAGCCCAGCCAGUUGCAGUUGCUCAGGACUAUGUAACUCCUGUUAUGCCAGAGGACGAGCAGCGCAGAUUGGAGUGGUUUGGUAGACUUCAGCCUCCGACCUUCAGUGGUGAAGAGGGCGAGGAUGCCCAGGGUUUCUUGUACAAGUUCAGAGGAUGCUUCGGACCGUAGGUAUUCUGGAGACCAGUGGGGUCUCAUUGACUACUUUCUAGUUCUCUGAGGCUGCACUUAGUUGGUGGGAGGUUUAUGAGAGGCGUAGGCCGGUUGGCGCAGCGCCCCUUUUUUGGCAGCAGUUCUCCAUUCUUUUUCUAGAAAAGUUUGUGCCCAAGUCUUGCCGAGAGAAGCUGCGCAGGCAGUUCGAGCAGCUUCAUCAGGGUGAUAGAUCUAUUAUGCAGUAUGAGAUGCGGUUCUCUAAGUUGGAUCGUCAUUCUGUCUGGUUGGUUCCCACAGAUCGAGAGAGGAUCAGGUGGUUUAUAGAUGGACUUGUUUUUCAGCUUCAGUUGCUUAUGACCAGAGAGAGUAUCUAGUGCUACCUUUGAUGCGGUUGUACAGAUUGAGAUGGUUCGUGGUCAGGAAAGGAUUGAGAGGGAGGCUAAGAGGCCUUGUGGUCAGGGUGGAUUCAGUGGUACUCCUCAUGGGGGUUAGUUUCAACACGGUAGAGGCCGUCCAUUCAGGCAUGCUUAGUCAGCUUGUCUAGAUUAUCGUAGGGCAUCAUCGGGCCAUAGUUCUCACAAUUCUCAUCAGGGCCAUUCAUCCCUUAGUGCCCUUCCAGCCCAGAGUUCAUCCCGUGCUCCAUCGGUUCAGGGCUCUUCUAUGCCAGGUUCUUCUGCUAGUCAUCUCGGUGCUAGGGGUUCCCUUCACUCCCCGUCUCCAGCAACAGGGGGUUGUUAUGAGUGUGGAGAGUUGGGGCACAUAUGGAGGCAGUGUCCUCAUCGUCUUGGGGGUUCAUCUCAGUAGAGGAGUUAGCCAUCGACUUCAACAUCAGUUACUUCACUAUCCACCCAGUCAACUAGGGGUGGAUUGACUGGGUGGAUGAUAGUCAGCUAGGGGUCUCCCCAGAGGGGGAGGUCAAUCAGGUGGUGGUCAGACCUGUUUCUAUGCAUUCUCAGCUAGACCCGAUGCUAUUACUUCAGAUGUUGUGAUUAUAGGUAUUGUCUCAGUCUUCCAUAGAGAUAUUUGAUCCCGGUUCUAAUUUUUCAUAUGUGUCGUCAUACUUUGCUCGUUAUUUGGAUACGCCCCAUGAGUCUCUUGUUUCAUCUCUUCGUAUAUCUACUCCGGUGGGCGAUACUAUUAUUGUGGACCGCAUAUAUUGGUCGUGUGUGGUGACUAUUGGGGGUUUGAAGACCCGGGUGGACCUUUUGUUACUUUAUAUGGUGGACUUUGAUGUGAUAUUAGGCAUGAAUUGGCUAUCUCCGUAUUGUGCUAUAUUGGACUAUCAUGCUAAGACAGUGAUGUUGGCUAUGCCGGGUGUGCCACAGAUUGAGUGGUGAGGUUCGACUGAUUUUGUUCCCAGUAGGGUGAUUUCAUUUCCGAAGGCCCAGCAGAUGGUCAGGAAAGGUUGUCUUUCAUACUUAGCUUUUGUGAGGGAUGUUAGUGCAGAGACUCCUAGUAUUGAUUAUGUUCCAGUAGUGAGGGAUUUUCCCAAUAUGUUUCCCGCAGACCUGCCGGGCAUGCCACCGGACAGGGAUAUUGAUUUUGGUAUUGAUCUGGUGCCGGGAACUCAGCCCAUUUCUAUUCCACCAUAUCGUAUGGCACCAACAAAGUUGAAGGAUUUGAAAGAGUUGGAGGAGCAGCUUCAGGAACUCUUUGAUAAAGGGGUUUAUUCGGCCUAGUGUGUCACCUUGGGGUGUGCCUGUUCUAUUUGUGAAGAAGAAGGAUGGCACGAUGAGGAUGUGCAUUGAUUACAGGUAGUUGAACAAAGUUACAUUCAAGAACAAGUACCCUUUGCCUCGUAUAUAUGAUUUAUUUGACCAUCAUCAGGGAGCGAGAGUGUUCUCCAAGAUUGAUCUCCGUUCAGGUUAUCGCUAGUUGAAGAUUGGGGACUCAGAUAUUCUUAAGACAGCUUUCAGGACCUGCUAUGGUCAUUAUGAGUUCCUUGUGAUGUCUUUUGGGCUGACCAAUGCCCCAUCAACGUUCAUACAUUUGAUGAACAACGUGUUUCAACCUUAUCUCGACUCGUUUGUGAUUAUUUUCAUUGAUGAUAUCCUGGUAUCCUCACGUAGUUAGGAGGAGCACGCGGAGCAUCGAAGAGUUGUGUUGCAGAGAUUGAGGGAAGAGAAGCUUUAUGCAAAGUUCUCCAAAUGUGAGUUUUGGCUUAGCUCAGUGGCUUUCUUGGGACAUGUGGUGUCUAGUGAGGGAUUUAGGUUGAUCUGAAGGAGAUAGAGGCGGGUUAGAGUUGGCCCAGACCAUCCUCAACCAUAGAGAUUCGUAACUUUCUUGUUUUGGCAGGUUAUUACCAUCGGUUCAUUCAGGGAUUUUUAUCUAUAGCAUCACCCUUGACCAAAUUGACUCAAAAGGGUGCUCCAUUUAGGUGGUCGGAUGAGUGUGAGGCAAGCUUUCAGAAACUCAAGACUGCCUUGACCACAGGUCCAGUGUUAGUUUUUCCAUCAUCUUCAGGUUCAUAUAUAGUGUAUUGUGAUGCUUCGAGAGUGGGUAUCGGGCGUGUGUUGAUGCAGGAGGGUAGGGUUAUUGCUUAUGCUUCUCGUUAGUUGAAGACCAAUGAGAAGAACUACCCAGUUCACGAUCUAGAGUUGGCUGCCAUUGUUCACGCAUUGAAGAUUUGGAUGCAUUAUCUUUAUGGUGUGUCUUGUGAGGUGUUUACUGAUCAUCGUAGCCUCCAGCACUUGUUCAAGCAGAAAGAUCUCAAUUUGAGGCAUCAGAGAUGGUUGGAGCUGCUAAAGGACUAUGAUAUUACUAUUUUAUACCAUCCGGGGAAGGCCAAUGUAGUGGUCGAUGACUUGAGUAGGAAGGCGGUGAGUAUGAGCAGUUUGUCAUAUAUUCCUGUUGGGGAGAGACCUCUUGCAGUUGAUGUUCAGGCCUUGGCCAAUCGGUUUGUGAGGUUGGAUAUUUCAGAGCCCAUUCAGGUCUUAGCUUGUGUGGUUUCUCGGUCUUCCUUGUUUGAUCGCAUCAGAGAGCACCACUAUGAUGAUCCUCAUUUGCUUGUCCUUNNNNNNNNNNNNNNNNNNNNNNGGAGUUGAUUCUGGAGGAGGCCCAUAGCUCGCGGUAAUCCAUCCAUCUGGGUGCCGUAAAGAUGUACCAGGAUCUGAGAUAGCAUUAUUGGUAGAGGAGAAUGAAGAAGGAUAUUGUCAGAUUUGUAGCUCGGUGUAUCAAUUGUCAACAUGUGAAAUAUAAUCAUCAAAGACCCGGUGGCUUGCUUCAGCAAAUGGAUAUUCCAGAGUGGAAGUGGGAGCGGAUCACCAUGGAUUUUGUAGUUGGACUCCCGCGGACUUUGAAGAAAUUCGAUGCUAUUUGGAUGAUUGUGGAUCGGCUGACCAAGUUCGCGCACUUUAUUCCUGUGUGUACUACCUAUUCUUCAAAGUGGUUGGCAGAGAUCUAUAUCCGAGAGAUUGUUUGUUUGCAUGGUGUCCUAGUUUCCAUCAUUUCAGAUAGAGGUACUCAGUUCACUUUGCCGUUUGGGAGAGCCGUGCAGAGAGAAUUGGGUUCUUAGGUUGAGUUGAGCACAACUUUUCACCCUCAAAUGGAUGGGUAGUUCGAGCACACUAUUCAGAUAUUGGAGGACAUGUUGCGCGCUUGUUUCAUUAAUUUCGGUGGUUCAUGGGAUCAGUUUCUACCACUUGCAGAGUUUGCUUAUAAUAACAGUUAUCAGUCGAGUAUUCAGAAGACUCCAUAUGAGGCUUUGUAUGGGAGGCGGUGUAGAUCUCUAGUUGGUUGGUUUGAGUCAGGUGAGGCUAGGCUUUUUGGUAGAGACUUGGUGCAGGAUGCUUUGGACAAGGUGAAGGUGAUUCAGGAGCGGCUUCGUACAGCGCAGUCGAGACAAAAGAGUUAUGCUGACAGGAAGGUUUGUGAUGUGUUCUACAUGGUUGGGGAGAAGGUUCUAUUGAAGGUUUCACCCAUGAAGGGUGUUAUGAGAUUUGGGAAGAAGGGUAAAUUGAGCCCUAGGUUCAUUGGACCUUUUAAGGUGCUUCAGGGGGAUUGGGGAGGUGGCUUAUGAGCUUGCUUUGGCACCCAGCUUAUCGAGUGUGCAUCCGGUAUUUCAUGUUUCUAUGCUCUGGAAGUAUAUUGGGGAUCUGUCUUAUGUUUUGGAUUUCAGCACGGUCCAGUUAGAUGAUGAUUUGACUUAUGAUGUGGAGCAAGUAGAUAUUUUGGAGCGGCAGGUCCAAAAGUUGAGGUCAAAGGAUAUAGCUUUAGUGAAAAUGCAGUGGAGAGGUCGGCCCAUGGAGAAGGCUACCUGGGAGACCGAACGGGAGAUGCAGAGAAGAUAUCCUCACCUAUUUGAGGUUUCAGGUAUGUUUCUUGACUCGUUCGAGGACAAAUGUUUGUUUAAGAGGGGGAGGAUGUAACGACCAGCCGGUCGUUUCAUGAGUUAUCACUCCGUUUCCCCCAUUUCUGCUUCUUUACGUCUUGUUUAGCUGUAUUAUGUGGUAUUGGGGUGGUUGUUUUGGGUUCAGAAUGGUUUGGUAGAGAAAUGAGACACUUAGUCUCUUUUGAGUAAGCUUAAGUUGGAAACGUCAACCGGAUGUUGACUUGUGUGAAAAAUGUAUCGGAUGUGAAUUCUGAUGGUUCGGAUAGCUUCGUUAGGUGAUUUGGAACUUAGGAGCAUAUCAGAAUGUAUUUUGGAGGUCAGUGGAAGAUUUAGGCUUCAGUUGGCAAAAUUGGAAAUUUGAUAUUUUCUGGUUGGUAGUGGAGAUUUUGAUAUAGGGGUCGGAAUGGAAUUCCAGAAAUUAGAGUAGGUCCGUUGUGUCAUUUGUGACGUGUGUUUAAAAUUUCAGGUCAUUCGGACGAGGUUUGAUAGACUUUUUGAUAGAAAGAGGAAUUUGGAUACUUUGGAAUUCAUAGGCUUGAAUCCGAGGGUGAUUUGGUGUUCCAGCGUUGUUUUGAGUGUUUCGCGGGUUCGAACAAGUUUGAAUAGUGUUAUGUGACUUGUUGGCGUGUUUGGUAGAGGUCCCGAGGGCCUUGGGAUGGAUUUGGAUGGUUGACGGAGAGUUUGGAUUUUUGGAGUUGUGCUGGAGAUUUUCCGCUUCUGUUAUUUCCGCACCUGCGGAUUGGGGACCGCAGGUGUGACACUGCAGAUGCGUAGAGGAGGCCGCAGAGGUGGAUUUGGGUCUGCUGGAGCUUGGCCGCAGGUACGGUGCAUUGGGCGCAUCUGCGGGGCCGCAACCUGGAAGUAGAUGCGGCCCUGGGGGAUUUAAUGAAGAACCGCAGAUGUGGUUGUCUUGACCGCAGGUGCGGUCUGCAGAAGCAUGAUUUUGGCUGCAGGUGCGAAAUCCCUAGGCCAGAACCUCUAUAAGGUUUCCUUCGCAAUUUUCAGCUUUGUUUCACCAUUUUUAAGUCGUAUUGAGAGCUUUUUAAGAGAUUUUGAAGAGGGAAUUCACGGGGACUUCGUGGAGGUAAGAUUCUUGGUACUAAAACUCGUUUCUAUGGUGAUAUUUUACUGAUUAGACAAGGAGUUUAUGGAAAUUAGUGGUUAAAAUUAGGUGUUUAGGGUUUGAAAUUGGAGACCUUGAUUUAGGGAUUUGAGGGGUCGUUUGUGGUCUGAUUUUGAUGUAUUUGGUAUGUAUGAACUCGUGAGAGUGUAAGGAUUUUAGUUUUGUGAUUUUUAUCAGAAUUUGAGAUAUGGGCCUGGGGGUCGGGUUUGGCCGAUUUCGGGAAUUUUAUGUAAAUUGGUUAUUUUCGAGUGGGCUUUGUUCCCGUAACAUAUUUUGAUGGUAUGAAUCUAUUUUUGGUUAGAUUUGGAGCAUUCAGAGGCCGAGUCGAGAGGCGAAGGCAUCGUGGNNNNNNNNNNNNNNNNNNNNNNNNNNNNNNNNNNNNNNNNNNNNNNNNNNNNNNNNNNNNNNNNNNNNNNNNNNNNNNNNNNNNNNNNNNNNNNNNNNNNNNNNNNNNNNNNNNNNNNNNNNNNNNNNNNNNNNNNNNNNNNNNNNNNNNNNNNNNNNNNNNNNNNNNNNNNNNNNNNNNNAUCGUUGUGCUACUUUGCGGCGACAUACACGCUAGAUGACGAGCGUGGGGUCGUGCACCAUUUGGGAUUGUGACUUGGUCCGUCUCGUACGACUGUUAAGUCGCGUAUUUGAUUAAAACCUGUUUGAUAUCAUUGUGUUUUGGAAAUUAUUACCAUAUUUUGGGCUGAAUGCCAUAUUUGGGCCUCGUGCCAACUAUUUUGGACUUUUAGGGGAUUUUUACUGCUAUUCCUCACUGAUUGGCUUAAUAUCUAUACUCAGUCAUAUUGUAUUCUACUGUUUUCAUAAGUCAGCCGUAUUUACUUUGUUUUGAUAUUUUUAAAUGAUAUUUUUGGCUGAGCAUCAUGUUUUACUGUUGCCCGAGUGGCUUGAGAGAUUUUUGACUGAGUGAGGCCGAGGGCCUGUAUUGUGAGGAUAUCAUGGGAUCGGGUUGCGCGCCGCAGCAUGUGUAUUGAUUGUGAUAUAUGAGAGGCCGAGGGCCUGAUUUAUUAUGCCACGAGAUGGCUUGUGAUAGAGCUUGGGUUGCAGGAGCCCCUCCGGAGUCUGAACACCCCCAGUGAGCGCGGGUACCCAGUGUGAGAUGUGAUAUUGCCUGAAGGGCUGUUGUUGUUUCAUGUUAUUGCCCGAGGGGCUGAUUACGAGUGAUUGUGAGGUAGCCCGAGGGGCUUGUUCUAUUGAUAUUUUGCCCGAGGGGCGGUUGUGGUACAUGUUUUGCCCAAGGGGCUAUUUACGUUUCUAUCCUUUUACUUAUUGUUUUCAUCACUCGUUUGAAACUAAUGAAAGAUUUUUUAAAAGGUUUUACUGAACUGAGUUGUUUUACGAGUUUUAUUGCUUUACUACAUUGUUCUGGACUUAUACUAUUUUACUGUAGCGUUAUGACGUGGUUUACAUGUUUUCUUACUGCUCAACUGCCUUUACUUUUAUUACUUACUGAGUUGGCGUACUCACAUUACUCCCUGCACCUUGUGUGCAGAUCCAGGAGUCUUGGGGCGCGAUAGUGAGUGCUGAUCAGUCUUCCAUCAGGUCUCCAGAGUCGACUAGGUAGCUGUUUGGCAUUCGCAGCCGUGUGCUUCUCCUUCCUACCUUAUUCAGCUUUGUAUUAGCAUUUUGUUUCAGACUAUGUUGUCCUUUCUUAUUCCUAGACGAGUUGUAGUUGCUCAUGAUUGGUGACACCCCGAUGUCGGGCUGUGUUAUAUAUUUUCCGCAUUGUUUCCUUUAACUUAUACUAUUGGAUUUUAGCUAAUUACUGGCUUUAAAUGACUUAUUAUGAAUUUCUGGUUGGUGUUGGGGUUUGUGUUGGCUGGCCUAGUUUCACGUUAGGCGCCAUCACGAUCGAGUCAGUUUUUGGGUCAUGACAGUUUUCCUGAAGACUAAUCCAUUAACGCAUGCUUGCAUAUUUUCACAGUGAUUUAUAUUAGUUCACCUCGUAGAGUUAAGAUUUAAUCGAGAGAGGAGUCUUGGCUACACGUUUGAACUAUUCAUCGAGUCAAUUCGUAAGAAUCAUUAGAACAUUAGAGUGAAUUGAACUAGAGUUAGAUCCCAAAUAGCUAUCUUGCACCUAUCAUGUCACUACAUUAGACCCCAAAUAGCUAUCUUGCACCUAUCAUGUCACUACCCUUAUUUCUCCCAUUGAUAUUUCUGUAUUGCUCAACUCUUGUCUUUUUGUGAUCAAUUGUUAAUUGUUUUAGUUUCAUAGUUAAUUUUAGUUAUUAAUCAUCCCAAUUAAAGUGUUAAUCCUCUCGAAUAGCGUUAAGCUAGAAAUUACUUGAAACUUAUUUAAAUUAAUCCAUGUGGAGACGAUAAUUAAACUGUAAUAUCUUUGGCUAGCAAAUAUCUUCUGACGCCGUUGCUAGAGAUUUUGCAAACAAUAGUGUUUAAACUUAGUUUUGGUGCUAAUUCAGGAACCAUUAUUAUUUUGUUCUUCACGAGUUUUCUCUUGUGUGCAGGGCAACAUGUUUAACUUCUAUGGUGUAUGACUCGGUCUUCUUCAAAAGAAGUGAU
rnacentral:lncRNA from 1 species